AUUUUCCAAUACAUUGUUUCUUUUUGGUUCUUUUUCUAUCUAACUUACUUUUUCUUCUUUUUGCUCAUACAAGUCUCUUUUUUAUUUUCUCUUCUUCUGGGAUCUCUCUCAAACCUCUCUUUACUUUUUUUUUUCUUUUUCACUUAUCAGUUUACAACUGAAGACAUCAUCUUCUUUAUCAACUCACUCAUCAUCAAUUGAGUAAAUUUUAUUUUACAAACCUUUAUUUAUUUUGCAUGUUUUACUAACUAACUCAGUUUUUGUUUUUAUGUUUUUCAGUUUCUAUUCAUCACUCUUCAGUGAAUAUUUAUCUUCUCUCAUUCAUCUUUCCAAUCUGAAAUGACUUAUGGCGGAAACACUAGAUCUCAAAUCAAAACCACCGAAUCCACCGGAUUUGAAAUCAAAAUCUCCAUAUUUAAAAUCAAAAUGGUUUGUUGAUUAUAUAUUUUGGGCUUUGAUUUUCGGACAGGUUUUGUUCUAUUUAUGGAGGAUAUUGUUUAUCUUCUUCGUCUAACUCUGAAAGGUUUUCAACAGAUCUGGAGAGUCGUAAGAAAAAAAAGAUCUUAAAAAUAUGAAGUUUCAGAAAAGUUUGAUUUUAUUAUGCAUAUGGAGGAUAUUGUUCAUCUUCUUCAUCCAUCUCAAAGGAAAUUACAUCUAUUUCAGCCUGUAUGCAGUUUGAAACCGGUCAAAAGAAUUGAUAGCUUCUUGCUUUUUUGAAAAUUCUGCAAGCAAGGGUUAACUCAUCAUUAAUUGUGACCUGCUACCUUUAUCAGCUAUGACAAUUGGCGGUUACUUUUUGCAUGAUUUGACUUCUGCUUUGCGACAAUUUAGGUCUGUUUUGCUUCAGGACAUCAUGUAAAACAAUAAUAAAUAAGUUACUCUUA